rnacentral:rRNA from 1 species
UACGGGAGGCAGCAGUGGGGAAUAUUGCACAAUGGGCGCAAGCCUGAUGCAGCCAUGCCGCGUGUAUGAAGAAGGCCUUCGGGUUGUAAAGUACUUUCAGCAGUGAGGAAGGUGGGUAUGUUAAUAGCAUAUUCAUUUGACGUUUAGCUGCAGAAGAAGCACCGGCUAACUCCGUGCCAGCAGCCGCGGUAAUACGGAGGGUGCGAGCGUUAAUCGGAAUUACUGGGCGUAAAGCGCAUGCAGGUGGUUUGUUAAGUCAGAUGUGAAAGCCCGGGGCUCAACCUCGGAAUUGCAUUUGAAACUGGCAAACUAGAGUACUGUAGAGGGGGUAGAAUUUCAGGUGUAGCGGUGAAAUGCGUAGAGAUCUGAAGGAAUACCGGUGGCGAAGGCGGCCCCCUGGACAGAUACUGACACUCAGAUGCGAAAGCGUGGGGAGCAAACAGGAUUAGAUACCCUGGUAG